GAGUGAGACUCAUUUUAUAGGGUUUUAAAUCUGAGUCCUCAUAUUGAAACAUGGGAAAAGAAUGAUGAGAUCCUUGAGUGCUGUACUAGUGAUCCUGUGUCUUCAGUUGAGCUGGGUGAGUAGCCAACAGAAAGAGGUGGAGCAGCAUCCGGAAUCCCUCAGUGUUGCAGAGGGAGCCAUGGCCUCUCUCAACUGCACUUACAGAGACAGUGCUUCUCAGAGCUUCAGGUGGUACAGACAGUAUCCUGGGAAAGGGCUUGAGCUGCUGGUGUCCACAUUCUCCAUUGGCGACAAAGACGAAGGGAGAUACACAGCACAUCUUAACAAAGCCAGCCGAUAUUUUUCUCUGCACAUCAGAGGCUCCCAGCCCAGUGACUUAGCCACCUACCUCUGCACAGUGAGCACACAGUGCUCCCCAGACACCUGCAGCCUGAAUGCAAACGUGGGGUGGGGGGGAGAGCAAGGCCUGAAGUGGAGCACAGACCACCAGGAAGAGAAAUUCUGGUGUCCUCUAGAUGCCACAGGAAUUAAGAGCAUUAUACAAGAUAGUUUGAUUGACAGGGAAAGAAUUUUGAUGCUCUGA